rnacentral:lncRNA from 1 species
AAUACGAUGCAUGAAACAAAUUACAUAAUUUUAAAAAUGGUUUCAUACAUUUAUUGUUUAUUCAAUGAUUUUUCAUGUUUCAAGCAUUAAUGAAUGGUAUCAAUACAAUGUCAUGCCUUAACGAUACGUAUUUUUAGCUGACAUUUUCUAAAAAACCUUUUCAAGAAGUCAAUCCGAGGAGCCUUAAAAGAGAUACGCUUGCAAGAUCAUAGUUUGUGGCCAAAGGCAUCUGUAGUUAUGACAAUAGACUAAACCUUACGUUAUGUAAUAAUUGGCCAUGUGAUGUAUGUGUAAUUAGUUGGCCUCCUUUUGUAUGUAAAGUGUAAAAAAUUAGGCACAGCUCUGUAUGUACGGUAUUGACGCCAAAACAUGACACUUUAAUAUUCUUAGCUAUGAUUAGUUCUGACAAAAUAAAAAAUUUAAUCAUUUUGAUGAAUAUGCUAGGUUUAAGGUAAAGGGCCUGGCGGGCAACCGUCGGCCAUACGUGCCCACGAUCUGCAUAAAACCGGGUUGCGGGGCAUGACAGAGGUGUAUCAGAGCAACAGGUUUAGACGUACACAGAGUAUAGGGUUACACCAUAAGAGUAGAGUCACAUCUAGAUAGAAGUCUAAGACUGUCUAGUGAUAUACGUUAUAUGCUAUGCACGCCUGUAAGUGCAACUGGGCGAGAUAACACAGAUUUUGGUGGAUAAUAGACUCAUGAAACCACUACAAGUCGAUGAAGGAGAACCUUCUACGGGAAAGUCUAAAGGUGCAAGGCAUCCACCUCAUGGAACUCAUUAAGAGAAGCAACAUGAGUCGUGCUUUGAUCUGGAAAGCUAAGGUGAUAGCAGACCCAUGGCAUCAGACAAGCAAAUAGUGUCGCCGCACCAAGCCAGUCAAACGUGGACCUUCGUGACACGCUCAUUCCCAAGAGAAACCGAGAAUGUGAUCUACAAGAAAAGCUCAACAACCGAACAACUGCAGCGUAGGUCAAAGCUAUGUCGGUGUAGAAGGAAUAAGUUCCAAGAUACCAAACUCCAUUCUCUCAAAAAAUUGAGAGAAUGGACCCACCAAAAAAGUUCGUGCCACCAAGUUUCACACUAUAUGACGGGAAAUCCAACCCCAGGUCCCACAUCAGCCAUGUUAGAUAGAUGAUGGCCUUGUGGAAUCACAUGGCCACCCUGAUGUGCUGUGUAUUUCCAUUAAGCUUGGGGGACCUCGGACUAAAGUGGUUUGACAAGCUACCUAUUGGAUCGAUCGAGAGCUUCCAUCAGCUCACCGAGUCAUUCGUGGCUCGGUUUGUCAUAAACACAAAAGUGCCGAAAGGUAUUAGAUCUCUCUUGAUGCUGAUGAAGGGAAAGAACAAGUUGAUCAGGAACUAGAACAAGCGCUAUUAGGAGACAUACAACGAGAUAAAGGAGUUUUUCAAGGAGUUGGCAGUGGCAAGUUACGAGCUCGGGCUUACUCCUGGGGAGAGACUCUGGGAGAACUUGAUGUUCAAUCCUCUAAUCGAUCUCCAGGACCUCAUGUCCCAAGUUGAGUUGUCCGCUCGAUUGGAGGAUGACGUCAAGCAAGCAAAAAAAGCGACAGGGAUGAUAGCCCGAGGUGAGGGGCCAUUCAAGAAGCAAAAAGAGAGCUCGGCUGACUACGAGAGCCGGGUGAGGUAGGGCAUCAAUGUGAUUUCAAAGAACCAAUCUACAAAGUCCUCGCCGGGAUCCUAGACAAACCGUACUUUAGGAAGCCCAAACCAAUGGAAGGAGAUUCCAAAAGACGCAACCAACACUAGAAGUGUUCCUACCAUGAGGACAAAAUUACCAGGCCCUAAAGGUUUUCUUGGACCAAUUGGUUCAAGAAGGACACCUGAAGGAAUUUGUUGAUGAGGAAGAGACUCGAGCGGAGAAGGCCAAGGUCAGACCAAAUCCAAGGUUUGACUGAGGUGACGAUGAGACGGACAAAGCCGCGGAUGAGGAGGAGGAUCUGCCUUUGGGAACUAUUCACAUGAUUAGGGGCCCAAAUUAUCCAAAUCUUGAGAAUAGGAUCCGGGGAGACGUCCGAGUGAUAAAGCAAAUGCAUGAGGUUAUCUCGGUCCAAUCGCCGGCUAAGAAGCCGAGGCAAGCAGCAUCUGGACCAGGGAGCAUCAUGUUCACUAGGGCCGAUUAGAGAGGGUGCAACACCCUCAUUCUGACCCCUUGGUCAUCUAGCUCAGAAUGAAUAACUACGAUGUUAAGAGGAUCUUGGUGGAUACAGGAAGCUCAGUUGAGGUAAUGUAUGAUGAUUUAUUUAAAAAACUUAAGCUUUCACAAGUAGACUUGAAUCCAACCUGAGCUUCUCUAGUUGGAUUCAACACUCAGUCUUACUGGCCCUUGGGUACCAUAACCCUCAAAAUUUGAGCCGGAUCCUAAGAGCUAGUGACAGAGUUUGUUGUUGUGGACAUUCCUUCCCCAUACAAUGCAAUCGUUGGCCAAGAUUGGUUGCACAGGUUAAGGGUAUGGCUUUCGCACUACAUUAGAUCAUCAAGU